rnacentral:lncRNA from 1 species
UUCAGUGCCCGUGUCAUAGAGGAUUCCAUGUCAUAAAAGAAUUCAAAUCAGUCUUGAAUAAUUGGAGCCUUUCUAUCAGAUUCUCUCAUGUCAAUUUGUUUUCCUGCACUGCUUCCUCUAUGUCUUCUUCCUGGUUGUCUGGCACUGGUUUGAAAGCAUUUAUCUCUAUCAGGAUUUUCUUCCACAGUGUUGACAAUCCUCUCCAUAGAGUACCAUGUGUAAUAAACCUUAAAGGUCCUUAUGGCCCCCAUCUAGAGGCUGAAUUAGAGACAGUUUCAGGUUCACCAACAUACAAGAAACAAAGAAGCAUGAGACAGACUCUCAGACCCUUGUAUCUUUUCUAUAUAAAAAGAACUGAAAUGCAGUAUGUACUCCACUUGGGAUUUCCCAAGUUCACAUAAUUAAAUGAUUGAAAAAAUUAGUAUUAUUUUAUGUUUAAAGAAUACAA